rnacentral:rRNA from 1 species
UCAAGCUACAAAGGGCUUACGGUGGAUACCUAGGCAUACAGAGGCGAUGAAGGACGUAGUUACCGACGAAACGUCUCGGGGAGCUGGCAGCAGGCUUAGAUCCGAGAAUCUCCGAAUGGGGCAACCCUUAAUACUGCCACCUGAAUCUAUAGGGUGGAUAGAGCUAACCCAGCGAAUUGAAACAUCUUAGUAGCUGGAGGAAGAGAAAGCAAUAGCGAUUCCCUAAGUAGCGGCGAGCGAAAGGGGAACAGCCUAAACCAGAGUGCAUGCACUCUGGGGUUGUGGGACAGCAACGUGGACUAGAGCGAUUAGACGAAGCAUCUGAAUAGUGCAUCAUAGAGGGUGAUAAUCCCGUAGUCAAAAAUCUAACUAGCCUAGCUGAAUCCCGAGUAGGCCGGAGCACGUGGAAUUCCGGUUGAAUCAGCGAGGACCAUCUCGUAAGGCUAAAUACUCCUGUAUGACCGAUAGUGAACCAGUACCGCGAGGGAAAGGUGAAAAGAACCCCGGAAGGGGAGUGAAAUAGAACAUGAAACCGUAAGCCUACAAGCAAUGGGAGACCGAUUUAACGGUUGACCGUGUGCCUGUUGAAGAAUGAGCCGGCGACUUAUAGGUACUGGCAGGUUAAAGCAUACAUGCUGUAGCCAAAGCGAAAGCGAGUCUGAAUAGGGCGAGUUAUUGUCAGUAUUUAUAGACCCGAACCCUGGUGAUCUAACCAUGGUCAGGAUGAAGCUUGGGUAACACCAAGUGGAGGUCCGAACCGACUGAUGUUGAAAAAUCAGCGGAUGAAUUGUGGUUAGCGGUGAAAUGCCAAUCGAACUAGGAGCUAGCUGGUUCUCCCCGAAAUAUGUUGAGGCAUAGCGGUAAUGAUUAUAGUCUGGGGGUAAAGCACUGUUUCGGUGCGGGCGGAGAAAUCUGUACCAAAUCGAUACAAACUCUGAAUACCAGAUGCACACAUUGCCAGUCAGACGGUGGGGGAUAAGCUUCAUCGUCAAGAGGGAAACAGCCCAGACCAUCAGCUAAGGUCCCCAAGUUAUUGCUAAGUGAUUAAGGAGGUGGGGUUGCACAGACAACCAGGAGGUUUGCCUAGAAGCAGCCACCCUUGAAAGAGUGCGUAAUAGCUCACUGGUCAAGCGAUCCUGCGCCGAAAAUGAACGGGGCUAAGCAAUACACCGAAGCUAUGGACUUGAAUUUAUUCAAGUGGUAGGGGAGCGUUCCAUGUUAGGUUGAAGCCGUAGCGGCAAGCAGCGGUGGACGAAAUGGAAGUGAGAAUGUCGGCUUGAGUAGCGCAAAUGUGAGUGAGAAUCUCACAGCCCGAAAUCCUCAGGAUUCCUUCGGCAGGCUCGUCCGCGAAGGGUUAGUCGGGACCUAAGGCGAGGCCGAAAGGCGUAGUCGAUGGACAACGGUUUAAUAUUACCGUACCGUUAAUUGUUGGUACAGAGGGACGGAGAAGGUCGUCACCAGCCAGAGAUUGGUUGUUCUGGUGCAACUGUGCGAGGUGUUGAGAGUCGGCGAAAACGACUUGAGCUAAGCCAGGAGUCCGGCGAGCUACGGCUCGUUAGUGGUCGAGAUCAUGCUUCCAAGAAAAGCUCUAACUACCAUAAGCAAUUAAUGCCCGUACCGGAAACCGACACAGGUGGGAUGGUUGAGAAUACCCAGGGCCGCGAGAUAACUCUCUCUAAGGAACUCGGCAAAAUAGCCCCGUAACUUCGGGAGAAGGGGUGCCCAUAGCAAUAUGGGUCGCAGUGAAAAGUCCCAGGCGACUGUUUACCAAAAACACAGGUCUCCGCUAACUCGUAAGAGGAAAUAUGGGGGCUGACGCCUGCCCAGUGCCGGAAGGUUAAGGAAGUUGGUCAGAGAGCAAUCUUAAAGCUAGCGACUGAAGCCCCGGUGAACGGCGGCCGUAACUAUAACGGUCCUAAGGUAGCGAAAUUCCUUGUCAGGUAAG